UGGUCACUACCAAGGCUGCUAGGAAACACCGUUUCUGGUAUGCUGUGGACGUGACCACAAAGUAACUCCUGCAGGUUUUCAUGUUGCUGCUACAGUAGCAUCAAAUCUGUUGGAAACAUUU
rnacentral:snoRNA from 1 species